GGGCAUGUUAAUCCAAGAGCUGUGGCUCUGUGCAGUAGCUCCAGCUCUCCAAUGACAUGCAAGAGCAACGGGAAGGUCUUUGACUGCUGGGCCUCUUCCUGCCCAUUGCUGUCACUCGCCCCUCCUAUAUAU